rnacentral:misc_RNA from 1 species
AUAUCUGGUCUUUAUAUCAUCUACCGUUAGUGGAUAUGAAGGCACGGGGCGCUCUUUGUCACUGAAGCUUCUCAGUCACUUAGAAUCGAAAAGUCAGAAUCCUGCUCGUGCUGCUAGUUCCAGUCACUCUGGUAACCUAUUCCAGAAGAUAGAAUUGAAGGAGCCCAUCAGAUAUUCAUCUGGGGAUCCCAUAGAGUCUUGGCUUAACAGUUUACUGUGCUUGGAUGUUAUGAAUUCGACACCUGCUAUAAGCAGGUUCCCUCAUCCUAAGGAAUGUGAUUUGUAUUUUGUAAAUCGAGACACCUUGUUCUCCUUCCACAAAGAAAGUGAAAUAUUUCUACAGCGAAUGAUGGCUCUUUAUGUUUCAUCUCACUACAAGAACUCUCCUAAUGAUCUGCAACUAAUGGCAGAUGCUCCAGCUCACCAUCUAUUUGUACUGCUUGGACCAGUUGAUGAGACAAGAAAUAUUCUUCCAGACAUUUUGUG